GUGGCACAUUUAUAUCUGCUCUGAACAGCUGGGAACUGUCACUCGGGUGGAAAUAUGCAAAGCAGCAUCUGUAUGAAUGUCCAUUCGCUUUGCAGACCCAGGGCCACAGACACCCCUCAAUCUCAUGUGCUGCCAUCUGGUGGCAAGAUAAGGAGAUUCAACAUCAUUAUUUGGAGGUAUCACCGCUUCAGUGAUUCACAGGCCUCCUGCCAGCCCUCACAAAGUAUUGAAUGUCAUCGUGUGCAUCCAGUGGCCGGUCAAUGUCUCAUGAGAUCUGGGCUAUCUAAAAAGUGAAUACUUGCAAUCAAUGAACACGUGAACAUUAUGCCACAGGUGAUAUGACAGGAUUUGACCUGGAAAUGCUCAGCUUCACGUGCACCAAAUAUGGUCCUUGCAUACGUCUGAUCCAGACAAUGAUGGCGAGGGCAUAAGGGACGGAUCUGAGCAGCAUGGUGGCUUACCUAGGUUCCCACACUGCAGCUACACUGACAUGGGGACACCCGACAGGAAGCAGCUGUUACUCUGAUUUUGGGUUGAUUCUUACCCUGGAUCCAGAGCACUAAGAACCAAAUGAUGUGAGCUUGUGAGAUCAUCUUGUUGUUUCUGCUCAGACCAACCCUUGUCAAUAAACCACAAAGAGUGAAGUGAAACCUUCAUAACUGCUCUGAGCAGCAGGGAAAGGACAGUGGGAUGCAAAUAUGCAAAGCAGCUGUUCUCAGUCCCUGAUACGGGGCCAGAUCCCCAGUGGC